rnacentral:sRNA from 1 species
CUCAACAGCAACACCCAGGUGAGGGCAGUCUUGCUUGAAUAGCUAAUGAUUCUUGAAAAAUAGUAAGUGCCAGGGGAACCAAAUACUGGAUUCUUGUCUUGAGCCUUUUUAUGCAUCUGCUUCAGUUUUAGGUGUGGCUAGGGAAGGGAGCAGGCCUCAGGAAGGAACCAGCACUCUAAGACUGGCCUUUUUUUCCACUAGGUAGUUUUGCUGUCAGCCACAAUGCCUUCUGAUGUGCUUGAGGUGACCAAGAAGUUCAUGAGGGACCCCAUUCGGAUUCUUGUCAAGAAGGAAGAGUUGACCCUGGAGGGUAUCCGCCAGUUCUACAUCAACGUGGAACGAGAGGAGUGGAAGCUGGACACACUAUGUGACUUGUAUGAAACCCUGACCAUCACCCAGGCAGUCAUCUUCAUCAACACCCGGAGGAAGGUGGACUGGCUCACCGAGAAGAUGCAUGCUCGAGAUUUCACUGUAUCCGCCAUGCAUGGAGAUAUGGACCAAAAGGAACGAGACGUGAUCAUGAGGGAGUUUCGUUCUGGCUCUAGCAGAGUUUUGAUUACCACUGACCUGCUGGUGAGUUGAGGGAAC